rnacentral:lncRNA from 14 species
UUACUAUAGUUUACUAGCACUGUUAUGCUGCUUCCAAUAUAUAAACUAUUUAGAUUUAGUUCUGGCAUUAUGCAGUAGGGACAAUCAUAAUAAUGAGCUGGGCAGCUGUCUGUCCCUCAUUCAGGCCAUGCCACAAUGGAGCAAUGCAACAGGAAACACGACACAUCUGAAGUGGUCUGUCUGAUGGGGAGAGACUUUUCAGGACUUAAGAAGACUGCUGUUCCCUUCUGGAAAGGCAGCUCAUAUUUGAUCUAUUAUGCUUAACCAAACUUUCUUCAUCACCCUUGGCUGCUGUACCUCUGAACCAGUGUGCUGAGAAGCAGAACUCGUCACCUGGAGUGAAGGCUGACAGGAAUGAACAUAGGCAGGAAACAGCG